GAUGAACGCUGGCGGCGUGCUUAACACAUGCAAGUCGAACGAAGCACCUUGAUUUGAUUCUUCGGAUGAAGAUCUUGGUGACUGAGUGGCGGACGGGUGAGUAACGCGUGGGUAACCUGCCUCAUACAGGGGGAUAACAGUUAGAAAUGACUGCUAAUACCGCAUAAGACCACAGCACCGCAUGGUGCAGGGGUAAAAACUCCGGUGGUAUGAGAUGGACCCGCGUCUGAUUAGGUGGUUGGUGGGGUAACGGCCUACCAAGCCGACGAUCAGUAGCCGACCUGAGAGGGUGACCGGCCACAUUGGGACUGAGACACGGCCCAAACUCCUACGGGAGGCAGCAGUGGGGAAUAUUGCACAAUGGGGGAAACCCUGAUGCAGCGACGCCGCGUGAGCGAUGAAGUAUUUCGGUAUGUAAAGCUCUAUCAGCAGGGAAGAAAAUGACGGUACCUGACUAAGAAGCACCGGCUAAAUACGUGCCAGCCGCCGCAGUAACAC
rnacentral:rRNA from 1 species